rnacentral:lncRNA from 1 species
UUAAAACAAAGAAUUGCCAAGUGCAAUGGCACAUGCCUGUAAUCCCAGAGGUGUUGAAAGAUGAGGGAGGAGGAUUGCAAGUUUGAGGCCAGCCUCAGCAACUUAGUGAGGCCCUAAGGACUUAACAAAGCCCUAAGAAUUAGCAAGACCCUGUUUCAAAAUAAAAAAUAAAAGGGGCUGGAGAUAUGGCUCACUGGUAAAGUGCCCCAGGUUCAAUCUUCAGUACCAAAAAGAACAAAGAAUCACUUUUACCUAACUCUGAGUAGGCCCUGAAAACCUAACAUGUUAAAUAAUGGAGUUUACAUAACUUAGUUCACAUCCACUGCUUUUACUUACACCUCUUUAGCCCCUGGGGUUUCCUGGUUUAGGUGGUGGUUGUUGAUAAUAUUGUUGGUGGUGCUGGUACUGAGUGUUGAGCCCAAGAGCACUUUAGCACUGAACUACGUCCCCAACCCUUUUUUGUUUUAUAAUUUUAGACAGGGUCUUGCUAAGUUUCUUAGGGUCUCCCUAACUUGCUGAGGCUGGCCUUGAACUAGAGAUCAUCCUGUCUCAGCCUUUCAAGUUACUACCAUUACAAGAUUUCCCAACCUUGCCCAGCCAAGGGAUAAUUCUUAAAGGCAAAAGACUAUCUUAAACAUAAUAAUUCAAGUAUUCAGAACAUAAUCACAUCUGUCUGUAAAGCCUAUGGAAAAUACAGCAAUGAGAUACAGAAGGAGGCUAUGCUGUGGGCCUGGAAACUUUUUUAUGUGUAAUAAAUGGAAGAAAGAAUUCUGUGUUGAACCAGUAGAGAGGAACUAAAGUGAGAUUGUGGGUGAGUUCAGGCAUAUAGGGGAAAAAAUGAGAAAAGCAAAAUGUGUGUGAUAUUUGAGAAGAUAAAGUAGUAUCAAUAAGUGGGUUAGAUUUCUUUGCUAAAAUAAACAACUUUUAUUCAAAAUAUAAACCCCAGGUAAGGCAAUCAAAAAUGCAAAACUAAGAGACACAUAUUAUUUCUCAUUUAAGAGUUUAAAAAAUGAAUUUUACUGUGGCUCAGUGGUAGAGUACUUGCCUAGUAUGUGUGAGGCACUGGGUUCUAUUGUCAGAACUGCACAUAAAUACAUAAAACAAAGGUCUAUUAAAAAAGAAAGAAUGAAAGAAAAAAAGGUAUAUUUUAAUCAUUGUGAAAUCUGUCCAUCUCAUACAUUAAGUAUAUUAUUUUACAGGAAAUGAAAUCAAAAUAUAGGAAGUGUUCCUUUUUGUGGGGAAUCUGUAAGAUAAAUUGCUAUAAUUAAAUAAUAGGUACCAAUUUAUAUGUAUGAGCUCGCAAAUUCAUACCUGUGGACCUUAAAUAAGGGAGACAAGAAUCAAAGCCACUUUGAAAAAAAUAGGAGGGCAUUUGAAAAAUAGAAAAAGUUUCUGUUAGAUGUUGUGUGCAAGCAUUUUAAAUAUUGCAGAGCUCUGAGCUUUUAGAAGUGUGAUAUGUUCAUCCAUGGAGGGGGAAGGUAACUUGCAGAGUCUUGGAAAUUUGGAGUGCGUAUACAUGUGUGUCGUGCACUGGUAAAAUUGAAUUUUUAAUCUUUUCUUCCAUUUCAUUUGAAACAGAAAAUGUGAAAACAAGGUCAUUUGGUAUUCAAGCUAAUAAUCACAUUCAUGAUGACAGACACUUCACAGGUGAGUAGAGUUGGCAGUAGGAGGAAAUUAGGACCAUAAUUUCUAACAUGAAAUCCAAAGAACAGGGGAAGAAACAAAUGGAAAAUUGAAAACAGAGUUAACAUUCUAUUAGGAGAGACUAUGUAAGGAGACACUGAUAGUCUUCAAAAUCUAGUUAAAGAAACCAUUUUAUAAAUGUCUGUGUACUUUGUAGAUUUAUAUGAAAACAGAUAUUUAACCAAAGUAUGUGAAUCAAAAAACACUAAAUAUGGGUAAGAAGAUGUAGUUUGUGAUUAUUUAUAAAAAAUCAUUCUGUAUUUAGACAGAAAUAAUUGAUGAGAAUUUUAUGAAGAUAAAACUGAUCAAUUAAAAGCAUACAUUACACCAUGACUGGCCAAAGCUGCAGCCUGGACCUGGAAGAAACCCUGAGCCAUGUUGGUGAAGCUGCUCACACAAGUACUGUCCAACGUAAGGAAAGCAGAUGGCGAUGAGCUGGGAUUCCAUGAAGGAGUGGUGGGGUCA